UGGGGAAUAUUGGACAAUGGGCGAAAGCCUGAUCCAGCCAUGUCGCGUGUGUGAAGAAGGUCUUCGGAUUGUAAAGCACUUUAAGUUGGGAGGAAGGGCAUUAACCUAAUACGUUAGUGUUUUGACGUUACCGACAGAAUAAGCACCGGCUAACUCUGUGCCAGCAGCCGCGGUAAUACAGAGGGUGCAAGCGUUAAUCGGAAUUACUGGGCGUAAAGCGCGCGUAGGUGGUUUGUUAAGUUGGAUGUGAAAUCCCCGGGCUCAACCUGGGAACUGCAUUCAAAACUGACUGACUAGAGUAUGGUAGAGGGUGGUGGAAUUUCCUGUGUAGCGGUGAAAUGCGUAGAUAUAGGAAGGAACACCAGUGGCGAAGGCGACCACCUGGACUAAUACUGACACUGAGGUGCGAAAGCGUGGUGAGCAAACA
rnacentral:rRNA from 1 species